CACGUCACAGACACCGAACUGGGCUCCGGUGUCACCCUGUCACAGACACCGAACUGGGCUCCGGUGUCACCCUGUCACGGACGCCGGACUGGGGCACAGCUGUCACAGGCACUGAACCUGGGCACCAGGGUCACCCGCUCACAGAUACCAAAUCUGGGUGCCCUGCCACAGACACUGGAUCCGGGCACGGGUGGCCUCCUGUCACGGACAAGAAACGGGAUUUUCAUUCCCAAAGGGCACGGAUCUACAGAGCUGAUUGGCAGCAGCUGAUGCAGAGAUCUGAGUGUACACAUGGACUGAGGAACCCACGGGCUGCACUUCCAGGUAUCAGCUCUGUGGAAGAACCUUGCAAAUCUCUAAGAGAGCCAGGGAGCAAAAAAAUGCUCAUAACUUGUGACCAAGGAGACAAAGGAAGUUUGCACAUUCCAUGCUUGUGUACUGUCACUGUGCACCUCUGAGAACUGUCUGGGUACACCCACCAUGAUGGAGCUGAAAACAGCAACAAAGGUGUAAUACAUGUGGCUGAUGUGAAAAUAUACUUAUUACCAAGAAAAAGGGAGAUACAGAAUGCUUCACAGAAGAAUGAGUAACUAGAUUGUCUGGCAUGAAGAGAAAGUUCAUCAACAAAUUUAAACUUACAAUUUUUAAAAUCUGUUACAUGUCCUCUUGCACCACAAACCUGGCAAUAUUUUGUCAGGAAACGAACCAGAAAUAAUUAUGGGGCACUCCUGGGCACUUCCUCACUCAAAUAAUGAAUUAGGUGAUUAUUUCUAAGCAGGUAAAUCGACAGACCUACCCAGAGCUCUAGAUAACAUCUCCUUUCACAUGCCUGGUUUUAUUAAGUGGGCCACCCAUCCUAGCUGAUUUGUAUAAUACACAUGUAAGACUUGAAAGAGACUUAGCAGUGAAUCAUGGAGUACUUCCCUUUAAUGGUCUAACAACAGAGUAGGAUUGACAUAGCUUCUGAGAGAUCAAUGAACAUUUUAGCCAGAAGCUUACUUGUGUCUAAUGGCAGGAGCAGUAACUUUGCUCAAUUCUAUUAGUGCUGUCUGUACAGAAUGCCAUGCCCUAAAAGUCAUCUGCCACUGGGAUACAAUCCAGUGUUUAUUUCCAUUAGUUUAGCCAUUGUUGGUAACAAUAAAAAUCAGGAUGCAGUUGCAAACUAAUGAUUUAUGGGUAGAAUAAAGCACAGGAUGACCUUGGCUGCCUUCCAUCCACCAAGAAAAUGACUGGUAGUUAGAAAUAAAUUAAAAUUAUUGCAAGAGGAUAGCAUACGUUAUUUCUCCAAUAGGUAAUUUUACCAGCUAAAUAGCCCUGCCAUUAAACUGGCAGCUGUUGUACAAAUUAAAUUCCAAGAUAAAAAAAGAAAUUACAGCUCUUGUAAUUGUUGUAGUACUAAGAAUGCUGAAAACCCUAGCUCUGUAGGAACUGGCAGAAAAGGAGCUCUGGUGUGAUAAGGCUGAGCACAUACUCCUGGGCUGUGUUCAGGUGAAUGACUCUUCUGAAAGCUAAGCAGAAAAGAUCAGGUAAAUAUUUCUAUUGUCACAAAUGGAAAUUCCUUUACAGGUGAUUCCAGAGAUAAAAAAGCAAUCUUCCCUGACUGGAAUUUGUAGCUAAUGAAACUUUAGAACUUUGUUUUGCAAUUUAAGUUAUUCUGAUAAAACAAAACCAUCAGCAAUAUACUCUGCAUGUUCUUGA